GUAUAUUUCGAACAUUGGUGAUAGAACAUAUUCACAAGAUAUAAACUAAUUUGAGCCUAUGUAGUGUUGCUUUGAUAGUUCUAUGGAAGAGUCAUUUUGAGUUUCUAAGAUGAUUUUGAACAUUUCUUUGAAAUGGACGAUAUUGAAAUGGGCAUUGGAAUUUAUUUCAGUUUUGUACGUGAUUUAGCCAAAGGAUGUGUAUGGAUGGAAGAAUGUUUUGUUUACAUUACGCCUCCGUGCACUCAUGAGUCUCACGCUUAUUCUCGCACCCAUGGUAUAUUUGCCCAUUUCUUGUUUUCAUUGUCGUACAAAUAUUAAAAAAAGCUAACUCAAUGAAAAAAGAAAAUCCCAAAUCAUUUGCAACGCAUGCCCAAUCGUAAUGUUUGUUAUUGACUAAUGUUUGGUGGGAAAGGGUGAGGGAGAGGGGAAAGGGAACUUUUUAAUUCAUCCGGCAUUGUUUUACAACGGAAAUGGUGGGAAUUGGUGAGAAACAAACUUGUUGGUCUCUAAGAAACAAUGAGGUUGCUCAGUAAAUUCAAAUGUCAACAAAGAAAGGUCAUUCCCAUUCUUAUCUCUGAUGCUUUCCUUUCUAACUCAUCAAACAUGAUCAUGUGAAACCCAAUCCUUUCUUUUAAACUGACUAAUAUGGUGGAGAGAAGGUUUUCUGUGUGUGAUAGUUCUAUUUUAAAUUGAAAUGGACUGAGAGUCUAGGGUAAAACAUCCUGUAUAAGCAAAGACAAAUUUUUUUUGCUUUGUUUUUUAAUCUGAAAGAAACACAAACUAAUAAUGCCUAUAUACUCUGUUUGGUUUUGUUGUCAGAAUAUGGAGAAUGCAAUGGUAGUGUUGAAAUCUAAUGUUGUUGAUCUUGCCAUGGGAAUGUAAGUCCAUAUGCAUGGGUUAAAUAUGUGUCUAGCGAGCCCAUACUUCCCAACCAACCCAAUGAAGGAAUGAGAAAACCCGAAUGAGACAAAAGAGGGCAUUUAUAUUGCUAAAAGGUUUUGAGUUGAUAAAAGGUGUAAAUCUUGACCCGAUGCCAUUUGACAUGGACUGAGAUCUUCUCACCCCCAACUUCCAAGAAGAAGAGGGACAAGUUUCUUAAAUACUAUCAGGUAAGCUCCUGUGAUCCAUGCACUUAGAUUGGUCAAAGACUGAGACAAGUGGAGAAGUACCAUUUGUAACAAUGUUUGGUCAUUCGAUAACUAAUUUACGUGUU